AUCGGUGUAGCUCAAUUGGCAGAGCGUGCUGGGCCCUGUAAAACAGAUAGCAGAGAUUCAGGUUCAAAUCCUGAUGCCGGUA
rnacentral:tRNA from 1 species